GAUGAACGCUGGCGGCGUGCCUAACACAUGCAAGUCUACUUGAUCCUUCGGGUGAUGGUGGCGGACGGGUGAGUAACGCGUAAAGAACUUGCCCUGCAGUCUGGGACAACAUUUGGAAACGAAUGCUAAUACCGGAUAUUAUGUGAGUUUCGCAUGAAAUUCAUAUGAAAGUUAUAUGCGCUGCAGGAGAGCUUCGCGUCCUAUUAGCUAGUUGGUGAGGUAACGGCUCACCAAGGCGAUGAUAGGUAGCCGGCCUGAGAGGGUGAACGGCCACAAGGGGACUGAGACACGGCCCUU
rnacentral:rRNA from 1 species